GAUCCUGGCUUAGGAUGAACGCUAGCUACAGGCUUAACACAUGCAAGUCGAGGGGCAGCAUGGAGUUUGCUUGCAAACUCUGAUGGCGACCGGCGCACGGGUGAGUAACGCGUAUCCAACCUUCCCUAUAGUAGAGGAUAGCCCGGCGAAAGUCGGAUUAAUACUCUAUGUUUUCCGUUGCAGACAUCUAAGAUGGAACAAAGGCUUGCCGCUAUAGGAUGGGGAUGCGUCUGAUUAGGUAGUCGGCGGGGUAACGGCCCACCGAGCCAUCGAUCAGUAGGGGUUCUGAGAGGAAGGUCCCCCACAUUGGAACUGAGACACGGUCCAAACUCCUACGGGAGGCAGCAGUGAGGAAUAUUGGUCGAUGGGCGAGAGCCUGAACCAGCCAAGUAGCGUGCAAGGAUGACGGCCCUAUGGGUUGUAAACUGCUUUUAUGCGGGGAUAAAGUUCACUACGUGUAGUGUUUUGUAGGUACCGCAUGAAUAAGGACCGGCUAAUUCCGUGCCAGCAGCUGC
rnacentral:rRNA from 1 species